UACGUAGGUGGCAAGCGAUACUCGGAAUCACUAGGCGUAAAGCGCAGGUAGGCGGUUCGGUAAGUCUUUUGUGAAAGCUCCUGGCUUAACUGGGAGAGGUCAAAGGAAACUGCCGGGCUAGAGUUUGGUAGGGGAUACUGGAAUUCCUGGUGUAGCGGUGAAAUGCGUAGAUAUCAGGAGGAAUACCGAUGGCGAAAGCAGGUAUCUGGGCCACAACUGACGCUGAGCUGCGAAAGCGUGGGGAGCAAACAGG
rnacentral:rRNA from 1 species